GGCCUUUCACCAUACCCGCCACCCGUCACGGGUAUGGGUAACCCGCGGGUAUUUUUACCCGCCUCGCUUAGAAACAGCAUAAGCGCAAUUUCAACAGCAUAACAGCAGAAUAACAACAUCGUAAACAACAUCAGUAACAGCAUCGUAAACAACAGCACUAACAACGGCAAAAACAAAUGGUUCAUGCCAUCAUGGGCUCAUUCCACACAGGACACAGCAGCACUUUUUAGCAUAGCAAACGCAAAAGAAAUUAUUCAAUCGGCGGAUUCUUCAGCAUCUUAAUAGCCGAUCUCCAAAGCCUUCUAAAUAGAUGUCCAUCUUGCCGGAGCGUGGUGGAGGACUCGAGGAGGCGGACUGGUGGAGACGGCGGCACGCGAGGCCGCGGGCUCGUGGAGGCGGCGGAGCGCGGGGAGGCGGGCUGGUGGAGACGGCGGCACGCGAGGCCGCGGGCUCGUGGAGGAGGCGGCGCGCGAGUAUGGAUGCGGGGGACGCUGGGCGUGGGGUGGUGGGCCGGUGGAUGAGGCCGGAGGCAGCGCUCGGACAGGGAUAGGGACGGGAGGAAUGAAAUUAGGGUUAGGUCUUGGAAUCCGAAGUAUAUAUACGAUG
rnacentral:lncRNA from 1 species